CAGGGGGACCCGCGCUGGAUCGUGGAGGAGCGGGAGGACGGGACCAACGUGAACAACUGGCACUGGUGCGGCCGGGCGGGGGCCAGGGCUGC
rnacentral:pre_miRNA from 1 species